rnacentral:rRNA from 1 species
GACGAACGCUGGCGGCGUGCUUAACACAUGCAAGUCGAACGGAAAGGCCCUGCUUUUGUGGGGUGCUCGAGUGGCGAACGGGUGCGUAACACGUGAGUAACCUGCCCUUGACUUUGGGAUAACUUCAGGAAACUGGGGCUACUACCGGAUAGGAGCUCCUGCUGCAUGGUGGGGGUUGGAAAGUUUCGGCGGUUGGGGAUGGUCUCGCGGCUUAUCAGCUUGUUGGUGGGGUAGUGGCUUACCAAGGCUGUGACGGGUAGCCGGCCUGAGAGGGUGACCGGCCACAUUGGGACUGAGAUACGGACCAGACUGCUACGGGAGGCAGCAGUGGGGAAUAUUGCACAAUGGGCGGAAGCCUGAGGCAGCAACGCCGCGUGCGGGAUGACGGCCUUCGGGUUGUAAACCGCUUUCGCCUGUGACGAAGCGUGAGUGACGGUAAUGGGUAAAGAAGCACCGGCUAACUACGUG